rnacentral:rRNA from 1 species
UACGGAGGGUGCAAGCGUUAUCCGGAAUCACUGGGUUUAAAGGGUGCGUAGGCGGCUUAAUAAGUCAGAGGUGAAAGGCUGUGGCUCAACCAUGGGAUUGCCUUUGAUACUGUUAGGCUUGAAUCAGGCUGAGGUUGGCAGAAUGUGGCAUGUAGCGGUGAAAUGCAUAGAUAUGGCAUAGAAUACCGAUUGUGAAGGCAGCUGACUGGACCUUGAUUGACGCUGAGGCACGAAAGCGUGGGAAGAGAACAGG